AGACUUGUUUACCUGCCAGAUCACAGACAAGCCUAACCAGACUAUUAAACCUGCACCUCUUUACCCCAUUCCAGCAACGAGUGAGCCAUUCCAGCAUCUCAUCAUCGACUGUGUGGGGCCGCUCCCUCCAUCAAAGUCGGGGUGCAUCUUUUUGUUGAAGAUAUCUGAAGAAUUUCGUCGAAUCACCAGCAAAGACCUCCUGGAGACUUUCAAUGCGUCCCUUGACAAAUAUGUUCCUCGCCUGCUCAGACUGUACCGGGCAAGAAAGGGAGCUUUUGGUCAGCAAAUGGAAGACAUCCUGGCUAAGCUUGAUGAACAGACAUCAGACAUUCUGUCUCACCGAAAGACUGCAGCACUGAGAUGCCUCCCUGUUUUUGUCUGGGAUGACACAACCAAGUUUUUCCUGCAGCCUUUGGAAACUGACCCUGAUGAAAAAGGGCUAAGAGGCGUGUCUGUUGGCCUCCUUGCUGUCCGUGAAGAAGAUGAUCCUGCUGUUUCACCAGACGUGCGGGACUGGGCUGUUGUAUUGGAAGGUUCCAUCGUGCUACAUGACCUGCCAGACCUCGGCACUGCCUUUGCGUACCUCUUUGGCCUACUGUAUGCAAUGAACAUUGAUUAUCCGAAGGAGAUGAGGUACACCUUUGAAGCAAUUCAGACCAUCUUUUUCGAACUUGGCUCUCAGCGCACAAGGUCUCUGAAAACAAAGCUUUUGCUGUGACUCUUAAUGUGGAAGCCAACCUUUGAAUAUUUUCAAAAUUGUUUCAGGCACCAGUUUGUAAGAGGUGCAUAUAUCCACUGUCAACUGUUCAAGUUUGUGAGUGCUUUAGUAACACCUCUGUGUCUGUACACGCUUGCAUGUGUUCUCAUUUUAAGCAUGCCAUUCUCCUCUGCCUGUGAUAUAGAAAUGUGUGGGAUUAUCAGUUGCCAGUCCACAAAGCUCUGGAUUCUCAUUGGUUUUGUUUUUUAUAAAGUCAAGAUCCUUGAUUUAAUGUGCUAUAAUGUUUCAAGUUCCAUGGUGGUGUUGAACAUGUUUCUGAACAAGAGAAAUACAAAGUUUUCAGA